rnacentral:rRNA from 1 species
CGGCUGCAGUGCUGAAUUAUUCGCUAAUGCGCGAAAGCGUGACGGUGCGACGCCGCGUGCGGGACGAAGGCCUUCGGGUUGUAAACCGCUGUCAGUAUCUAGGAAACCACAGUCGUUAAUAGCGGCUGUGCUGACCAGAUACAAAGGAAGCACAGGCUAAUCUCGUGCCAGCAGCCGCGGUAAUACGAGAUGUGCGAGCGUUGUUCGGAAUUACUGGGCAUAAAGGGUGCGUAGGCGGCCUAUUAAGUCAGUUGUGAAAUCCCACGGCUCAACCGUGGAACUGCUUCUGAUACUGGUAGGCUUGAGGACGAAAGGGGCAAGCGGAAUUCCAGGUGUAGCGGUGGAAUGCGUAGAUAUCUGGGAGAACGCCAAAAGCGAAGGCAGCUUGCUGGGUCGUUUCUGACGCUGAGGCACGAAAGCUAGGGGAGCAAACAGGAUUAGAUACCCGUGUAGUC